UACGGGAGGCAGCAGUGGGGAAUAUUGGACAAUGGGCGCAAGCCUGAUCCAGCCAUGCCGCGUGAGUGAUGAAGGCCUUAGGGUUGUAAAGCUCUUUUAUCCGGGACGAUAAUGACGGUACCGGAGGAAUAAGCCCCGGCUAACUUCGUGCCAGCAGCCGCGGUAAU
rnacentral:rRNA from 1 species